CCUACGGGUGGCAGCAGUGGGGAAUAUUGGGCAACGGAGGCAACUCUGACCCAGCAACGCCGCGUGAAUGAUGAAGGUCUUCGGAUUGUAAAGUUCUUUUCUAAGGGAAGAAGAACGUGACGGUACCUUAGGAAUAAGCCUCGGCUAACUACGUGCCAGCAGCCGCGGUAAUACGUAGGAGGCAAGCGUUGUCCGGAAUGACUGGGUGUAAAGGGUGUGUAGGUGGCUUAUUAAGUUAGAGGUGAAAGCCCGAAGCUCAACUUCGGAACUGCCUUUAAAACUGGUUGGCUUGAGUGUGGGAGAGGUGAGUGGAACUCCUAGUGUAGCGGUGGAAUGCGUAGAUAUUAGGAAGAACAUCAGAGGCGAAGGCGACUAACUGGAACAUUACUGACACUGAAACACGAAAGCGUGGGGAGCAAACAGGAUUAGAUACCCUGGUAGUC
rnacentral:rRNA from 1 species